GCUUACACAUGCAAGUCGAACGGGAUCCCUGGCAGCUUGCUGUCGGGGUGAGAGUGGCGAACGGGUGAGUAAUGCGUGACCAACCUGCCCUGUGCACCGGAAUAGCUCCUGGAAACGGGUGGUAAUACCGGAUGCUCCGCUCCAUCGCAUGGUGGGGUGGGAAAUGCUUUUGCGGCAUGGGAUGGGGUCGCGUCCUAUCAGCUUGUUGGCGGGGUGAUGGCCCACCAAGGCGUUGACGGGUAGCCGGCCUGAGAGGGUGACCGGCCACAUUGGGACUGAGAUACGGCCCAGACUCCUACGGGAGGCAGCAGUGGGGAAUAUUGCACAAUGGGCGCAAGCCUGAUGCAGCGACGCCGCGUGCGGGAUGGAGGCCUUCGGGUUGUAAACCGCUUUUGUUCAAGGGCAAGGCACGGUUUCGGCCGUGUUGAGUGGAUUGUUCGAAUAAGCACCGGCU
rnacentral:rRNA from 1 species